rnacentral:lncRNA from 1 species
UUCUUCCCUCCAUUCUAACCUAAGCCAAAACUUUUGUGCAAACAUUUAACACUUCUUUUCAAACAUUAGAAACCUAAGCCUUAUGCUUUUGAUUUUCAAACUUUCUUUUCAUAACACUUAUUUUGAAUUGAACUUUUAAGUCAACCUUGACCAUAUUUUGUAAAUACUUUUUAUUGGUAAAUACCACUCAUUCAAAUACCUUUUUAUGGUUUCAAC